rnacentral:rRNA from 1 species
GAAACCGUUCAGGGGUAAACCUGAGAAACCCAAAAGAUCGAAUGGGGAGAUUCAUCGUCGACGAAGCUGGCUCCCGUUGGUGCGCGAUACCCCGAAUGGGCCUUAACCGUUCCAAGGCGAGGGUACACCACCUGCGGCGAACGAUCCGGCGACGUAGUCGUGCACUUCUCCCUUAGUAGAACGUCGCGACCCGUUGUGUGUCGGUCUACGGCCUGGGCUAAUUGCCUGUCGCGGCGCCAUCGUACGCUCGCGGCAGAGGCUCGGUCGCCUGGCCGGCUGCACGACGGUACUCUGACGGUAUCGGGCCGCAACCAAUCCAUUCUCGAAUGUGUGUGCGUCGGACCCGUCGCAAGCUCGGACAGAUUUACUCGGAGUGUGCGGACCUAGUGCCCUCACCGGGUCUGGCCAGCUGUUGGCAGACGGUGUUCUUGGACUGGCCAAGCUUUGAAUUACCGGUCGGCGACGCUACUGCUUUGGGUACUCUCAGGACCCGUCUUGAAACACGGACCAAGGAGUCUAACAUGUGCGCGAGUCAUUGGGACAUGUAAACCUAAAGGCGCAAUGAAAGUGAAGGUCGGCCUCGGCGUCGACCAAGGGAGGAUGGGCCGCUUACGUCCCGGCCCCGCACUCCCGGGGCGUCUCGUUCUCAUUGCGAGAAGAGGCGCACCCAGAGCGUACACGUUGGGACCCGAAAGAUGGUGAACUAUGCCUGGUCAGGACGAAGUCAGGGGAAACCCUGAUGGAGGUCCGUAGCGAUUCUGACGUGCAAAUCGAUCGUCGGAACUGGGUAUAGGGGCGAAAGACUAAUCGAACCAUCUAGUAGCUGGUUCCCUCCGAAGUUUCCCUCAGGAUAGCUGGCACUCGCUCGUUCCUCCGUGAACGUGUGCGAGUUUCAUCUGGUAAAGCGAAUGAUUAGAGGCCUUGGGGCCGAAACGACCUCAACCUAUUCUCAAACUUUAAAUGGGUGAGAUCUCUGGCUUGCUUGGAUCAUAUUGAAGCCAAGAGAUUUUGAAUCAGAGUGCCAAGUGGGCCAAUUUUGGUAAGCAGAACUGGCGCUGUGGGAUGAACCAAACGCAGAGUUAAGGCGCCUAAGUCGACGCUUAUGGGAUACCAUGAAAGGCGUUGGUUGCUUAAGACAGCAGGACGGUGGCCAUGGAAGUCGGAA